rnacentral:rRNA from 1 species
GACGAACGCUGGCGGCGUGCUUAACACAUGCAAGUCGAACGGAAAGGCCCUGCUUUUGUGGGGUGCUCGAGUGGCGAACGGGUGAGUAACACGUGAGUAACCUGCCCUUGACUUUGGGAUAACUUCAGGAAACUGGGGCUAAUACCGGAUAGGAGCUCCUGCUGCAUGGUGGGGGUUGGAAAGUUUCGGCGGUUGGGGAUGGACUCGCGGCUUAUCAGCUUGUUGGUGGGGUAGUGGCUUACCAAGGCUUUGACGGGUAGCCGGCCUGAGAGGGUGACCGGCCACAUUGGGACUGAGAUACGGCACAGACUCCUACGGGAGGCAGCGGUGGGGAAUAGUGCACUGUGGGCGGAAGCCUGAUGCAGCAACGCCGCGUGGGGGAUGACGGGCAUCGGGUUGUAUACCGCUUUCGCCUGUGACGAAGCGUUAGUGACGGUAAUGGGUAAAGAAGCACCGGCUAACUACGUG